rnacentral:lncRNA from 10 species
CUUCUAAUUCUUCCAGUGAUGGAACUCAGCAUAUGUCUGAGGAGCAGAGAAUUCAGAAGCUCCCAUGGGCCUCCCACAGCUGGAAUCUAAAACAACCACAGAAGUCUCAGAAAAGAGAAUAUAAAAGCAUACAACAAAAUAAAGGACUCAUAAGAGUACAGGGAUCACAUACAUGAAGUUGAACAAUGUUCGGUUUUAAUUCUUCACAAUUAUCAUUUGUAAGAUUGUAGACAACAGAUCACAUGUGGGAGAUGCUUGAAGUGGAGAAGUGUGUCUCCAAAAGUGUGAUAUCUACAAUGAAUCAUUUGGAAAGAGUCCUCAGCAAGCUGUGGUGUCUUAUGCCUGUAAUCCCAGCAGUUUGGGAGGUCGAUGUGGGUGGAUCGCUUGUGCCCAGGAAUUCAAGAUCACC